GCUGCGGUGGCGCAAUUGGUAGCGCACCUUACAUGUAAUGAGGUGGUUGUUGGUUCAAACCCAGCCUGCAGUG